rnacentral:ncRNA from 1 species
GGUCCCAAGGGUUUGGCUGUUCGCCAAUUAAAGCGGUACGCGAGCUGGGUUCAAACCGUCGUGAGACAGGUUGGUCUCUAUCUGCUGUAGGCGUGAAUGUUUGAGGGAGCUCUUUCCUAGUACGAGAGGACCGGAAAGAACAAACCUCUGGUGUAUCGGCUGUUCCGCCAGGAGCACUGCCGAGUAGCUAUGUUUGGAAUAGAUAACCGCUGAAAGCAUCUAAGCGGGAAGCUAGUCCCAAGAUUAGACAUUAUGUGUAAUUUAUUACACUGAAAUCUCCUAGAAGAAUACUAGGUUGAUAGGCUUUAGAUGUAAGUCUCGCAAGGGAUUGAGUCAAGAAGUACUAAUAGAUUUAUUAAUCUUUCUAA